rnacentral:lncRNA from 1 species
GUUGCGUUUGUCUGGCUCCGCACUCUGGCACUAAGGGGCACCUCUGCCAGGUUAAAGGUGGCAGAAACUCUGAGGAAGUCCAACUCGAGAGGCAGGUUCUUCUUCGCUUCAUCCACCAGCCACAUGAAUUCAAAAUCUGGGAAAAGUUGCUUCACGGCCAGGACAAGCACCUGAAAGCCACCAAGCAACCUGUCAGCCAGUCAGCCCACGGCCCCCACCACGGAAGGUACAUGUCCUACCCCGCUGGGGGAUGAUUCUGUGCGCUGUGUAUUCAGAUGCUGAUUACUGGGCCCAGAGAUCAGGUCGCAGCCCUGACAGGCAUUGCCAAGCAUCUCCUGUCUUACUUUCAUGUAAAAAUUGUUUUCUGUCACCUCUGGUUGGUUAAUAAAGAGCUGAGCAGCC